CAGAAAGUUGAAGCAAGAAAAGAGGGAUCAAAGUUUUCAUCUGGUAACUGCCUGUCUCCUAUAAACACGACUGCGUGGAGGGAGGGAAGAAGCAGCAGGAGCAUGCUGGGCCCUGAAAGGACAAUUGGCAAGGAAAGGGCACAACAGGGAGGAGCCCACAUAGGGGAGAGCUCUGCAGAGGGAGUAUCUUCCCGCCUGGUUGAGAAGAUCAAAUGAGAUAACGAACGUUUAAACACUGGCCUCAAAGAGAAAGGGGUCACAAUUCCAGGACCUCUCCCCUGCCCGGAAGGCGGAAGGCGGAAGGCGGAAGGCAAGGCGAGGCCUGCAUCUCAGUGAUGGCCACCAUCAGUCAUCUUCAGCCAGAGCUGUUAUCAGUGCUGUCUGUCCCACCAGAAAGUGAGCUCCCACAGCCCCAGACCCUAACACCCUCCAGCCCACAGGGUUGGGGCUCCAUACCUGUGCUCAAUGAGUGAGCUAACAGGACCCUCAAAGAGAAUACCUGGCUCUGUCCAGACUAGAAAUACCCAAGGCAGAGUCACCUUCCUGGCUCAGUCCCAGCCACUUGAAGUACACCCAAGUACUCCGUCUUGCUGUGGACCUGCCCGCCUGUGCAGCUCUUCUGCAGAGCUGGUGGAGAGUCCACUGAGUGUCGGGGGUGCAGGAGCACCAGCAAGAGUGAGAAGGAGAAGGGACCUGGCGCCACAUCCCGCUCUGCUCCCGAAUGAGAUUGCUGCAUUUAAUCGUGUCUGAGGACCGUCUGUAAAGAGAUCUUCCUGGGCCAACGUUGGGCUUCCCAUUCCAGUCUACUGCUCCGUAACUUACCCUGUCUGGUCCCUUCCACUUCCUCAGAACAGACAUCAGGAGGAAGCACUGAGCCCAGGAACAGUCCUUCCCCCAGACUCUCAGAAUCAGGGACUAACAUCAUCUCCCCG